GACAGAGGGUGCAAACGUUGUUCGGAAUCACUGGGCAUAAAGCGCACGUAGGCGGUUCGCUAAGUCUCAUGUGAAAUCCCCCGGCUCAACCGGGGAAUCGCGCGAGAUACUGGCAAGCUUGAGAUCGGUAGGGGUGAGUGGAACUCCAGGUGGAGCGGUGAAAUGCGUAGAUAUCUGGAGGAACACCGGUGGCGAAGGCGGGUCUCUGGGCCGUAACUGACGCUGAGGAGCGAAAGCGUGGGGAGCGAACAGG
rnacentral:rRNA from 1 species